UUUAAGCAGGAUCAACCUCGAUUCUUCUCUUACAAUGAACCCCAACAUCUUACCGGACCGCACUCUGAUAGUGCAUUUAUCUGAAUUCAACCUCAGUUUGAAUUGUCUCAACCAGUUGACCAACUUGGCCAGAUCUACCAGAUGCCCCUCUUCUGUUUGGUACUUUGCUAUCAUGUUGUCAACAUAGCAUUCAAUUUCAUGAUGAAUCAUAUCAUGAAACAAAGUCACCAGGACUCUUUGAUUAGUAGCACCGGUGUUCUG
rnacentral:lncRNA from 1 species